rnacentral:sRNA from 1 species
GACGGCAUACGAGGCUGUGCUGUACUGGUUUGCAACAUCUGUCACUGGCUUACAUAGCUGUUAAUCUUUCAUUUCAUGUUCAGACUUAUCAGUAUUCAUUAAAGACCCUCCAUUUGUGCAAGACCUUCUGGGAAAGAGUGCCCUAUCUCGGUGUCUUAGAUUUAACAACAACGACAAAAAGGUUCCAUUUUAGACACUUUUUUUGAUCAGGCAGCAGGCAGUCUCUGGCUGUGGGAGGUGGGAACCAGUCAUAUAUGCAUAUGACCAAACAGCUUUUCUACUGGAGAAGUUUAGCAUUGGUAAGAGAAGGUGUUCCAAGUUGAUGUUUAAAUCCACCCAUUUCCAUUUUGCUUCCUUACCUACAAGAAAAUUUAGAAGUUGGUGCAAAUGGCAUUUCCAUGAGUACUUCUCAUGCAUCUUUGCAUAUUUCACCUGGGGGGAAGCACAGAGGCUGAGCCUGGGAGGCUGGAUCCGCGAGGGCGCGUCACCUCGCCUACUUGGGAGUCCAGGCACAUGCACAGCGUCUAAAGGUCUAAACAGAAAGAUGGGAUGUCCUGCCCCAGCAAAAAUCUAAUGAUUUUCUCUCUCUGUAGGAGAAAACGAAUACAGCAGGGAUGACUUCCACCAGCUCCACUUUGCAGCUCUGAGGUGUAUUAAAAAUUUGUUUUUCAGAAACCUAGAGCCCCACCAAAUGAAUCCGCUGGCACGUGGACCUCAGAUGGGGGAAACUGAGGACUGAAUUCUGACCACCCUCCUUUGUUCUAAAUUUCUUCCUGAAGGACCUGGAAGAAGUCAUGCCACGGGCCAGACCUUAACAUUCCUUUCGGCUUACCCCAGGAUUUCAGACGAAGCUUCACUUUCCUAACCAGUCACAAAUCAGAGAAUUUUUGAUUCCACCUAUGACCUGUGAGCUCCUGCUUCAAGAUAUUCCACCUUUUUUAGGCCAAACCAAUGUAUAACCUCCAAGUGUCGAUUUACACUUUCGACUGUAACUUCUGCUUUCCUGAGAUUUACCCCUGCCUUUAAAAACCCUUGCUUGUAAUCCCUCAGGGAGGCCGUGUAUUUAUUAAUCAUGAGCUGCCCAAUUCUCCUUGCUUGGUGCCCUGCAAAUAAACACCCUCUUUUCUCCCACUGCAAAA